AUUUUAUUUUUUUCAGAAAAAAAUCUUAAAACAGGGAAUUACAUUUUUUGGAAAAUAAAAAUCAAGCUAUUAUUUCGUUCACCAAAAAAUAAAUGCUGAUUUUAGAAUAUUUUUCAUUUUUAUGGAUCCUUAAAUUGGGAAUACGUGUUUGAAAGGUCCAAGAUUGGUCUGAAACCUCGCGUCAGUCACAUGGAAAUGGCGUAAUUGUAAUCUCAGUGGAAUCGAUCAUAAUCGAUUACGUCGUCUCAAGUCUAAUCAAAUCGUCUACCGAGUUUCUUGACUUUAUUUUGAAAUGGGAAAAAAAUGAAUGAAGAUAAUGACAGCGUUAUUUGGGCUCCAAAUAUCUGUUUUGGAGCCAGCCCUCCUAAAUCAAACUCAGAGACAUCUAGGAAAAUCAAAAUUUGCAUGAUUCUGGAGGUGGGUCUCUCACAUUAGGCUGAUUCGCAUCUGGGUAUGGGCUUAAAUCGUCCAAAUUUAGCCAUGGAUAAUGCCAUGUACUCAGAGGAAUUGGCUGUUGCCGUUAGAGUUGUCCAUAUGGCGUGUUGUUUGUGCCAGAGAGUGCAGGAUGGGUUGGUUGGGACGAGCAGUGAGCAGGUGAAGUCCAAGGAUGAUGAUUCACCUGUUACAGUUGCAGAUUGGAGUGUGCAAGCAACUGUUAGCUGGAUAUUGGCGGAAGUGUUUGGAAGUCAAAAUGUGUCCAUUGUUGCAGAAGAAGAGAUCCAAACUCUUUCCAAACCUGAUUCAGCCGAUUUAUUGGAAGCGGUGGUGAACACAGUUAAUGAAUGCUUAUCUGAAGCACCUAAGUUUGGUCUCAAAUGCCCAGAUAAAGCCCUCAGGACAUCACAAGUUCUUGAUGCCAUCAGCCGAUGCAACUCAACUGGAGGGCCCAAGGGAAGGCAUUGGAUACUUGACCCUGUUGAUGGAACAUUAGGGUUUGUACGAGGGGAUCAGUAUGCUGUAGCUCUAGCCUUGAUUGAGGAUGGAAAGGUUGUCAUUGGAGUUCUUGGUUGCCCUAAUUACCCAAUGAACAAGGAAUGGCUAAAUUACCACAAUAAAUUCUACCAAGCUAUGUCAAAACAGUCCCCACCCGCUUCUGAUUCAUGGGAGAAGGGAUGUGUUAUGUAUGCAAGGAGAGGAAGUGGUGAAGCAUGGAUGCAGCCAAUGGUCCUGGGAGAUCAGAAGCUUGAGUGGCCAAACUCUGCAAGAUUGAUUAAAGUUUCUUCCAUUGACAAUCCAGCAAUGGCUACUUUUUGUGAACCGGUGGAGAAGGCAAAUUCAAACCACUCCUUCACAAAGGGACUUGUUCACAGUGUUGGGCUUAGAAAGCAGCCUUUGCGCGUCUAUAGCAUGGUGAAGUAUGCAGCCAUAGCCCGGGGAGAUGCUGAGAUUUUUAUGAAGUUUGCAAGAGCUGGAUACAAGGAGAAGAUAUGGGAUCAUGCUGCUGGUGUCCUCAUUGUAGAAGAGGCUGGUGGUGUGGUAACUGAUGCUGGAGGGCGUCCACUGGACUUCUCGAGGGGAAUAUACCUAGAAGGUCUUGAUCGGGGCAUCAUUGUUUGCUCUGGUGCUGCACUGCAUGAGAAAAUCAUUGGUGCUGUUUAUGCUAGCUGGGACUCUUCCAAUCUUUGAGGCCUUUGGUACUUGGCCAAUACAUCAAUGCAGCCAUAUUUUGAUACUUUUGAUAGGGGAAAGGACAGAUGAGAAGACAUUAGACAGUGUUCAUUCAUGUGAUUUUGAUAAUGCUCCAUACAAUUCUCAGGAGUUGAGUUGAGGAGACAUAAAAGAGGUAUUUUGCUUUUUUCCUUUCUACCUCAUUGAAGAGCAUGAUUUUUAGUUCAAUUGCUCUGUUCUUCAUCACUGGUAUGUUGAGGUGUAGGAUUUAUACUCAUAAAUCAAUCCCAGACUGUAAUUCAUAUCUGGUGCUGAAAUUAAGGCUGCAACUGGAGGAAUAUAUUGAGUUCAUAAUCA